rfam:Magpie-robin coronavirus HKT18, complete genome
GAGUAACGGGGUCCAGUGGCGCCCGCCUGGAACCCCAGCAGCCAGGUACAACCCCUGAUGCUGUAAAAAGGGCAUUUC